rnacentral:lncRNA from 1 species
GGAUUUCAGGCACGUAUCACCACGCCCAGCUAAUUUUUGUAUUUUUAGUAAAGACAGGGUUUCACCAUGUUGGUCAGGCUGGUCUCGAACUCCUGACCUUGUGAUGUGUCUGCCUCAGCCUCCCAAACUGCUGGGAUUACAGGUGUGAGCCACCACGCCCGGCCAAUGUUCUGUAUUAUUAUCUUCAAUAAAAGGCAAGGGUGGCAGAAUGGAUUUUUUAAAAAUGAUUCAAAUAUACAAACUGGUUGAAAGUGAAAGGAUGGAAAAAGAUACUCCAUGAAAAUAACAAAAAGAGAUCAGGGUGGUUAUAUGAAUAUCAGACAAAAUAGACUUUAAGUAAAAAUAUUGUCAGAAAAUUUCAAUAACUAUAAAAAAUCAGAAUGCGCUAACAGUUACAGAAGAGGAGACACACAUGACUCAUAUUAGUAACACACAGCUUCAUUAACAAUUGGGAAAUGUAGAUUUAAAUUGCUAUGCGAUAACAUUUCAUAUCCCUAAUUUGGCACAAUUAAAAGCUUGGCAAUUCUAAAUAUUGGCAAGAAUAUGGAGCAUGAGGAAUUCUCAUCUCCUUCUAGUGAGGCUGUAAAUUCAUAAAACACUUUGCAUGUGAGCCCUCAAUGGGAAAAGAAAUGAUUUUUCUUGGUCUUUGUAUAUUAGACAUGGUACAAGUUCAGAUAUCCACAUUUUUCUUUUUUUUUUUUUUGAGACGGACUCUUACUCUGUUGCCCAGGCUGGAGUGCAGUGGCACGAUCUCGGGUCACUGCAACCUCCACCUCCCAGGUUCAGGUGACUCUCCUGCCUCAGCCUCCUGAGUAACUGGGAUUACAGGUGCCCACCACCACACAUGGCUAAUUUUUGUAUUUUCAAUAGAGACGGAGUUUCACCAUGCUGGCCAGGUUGGUAUCGAAGUCCUGACCUCAAGUGAUCCACCCACCUCAGCCUCCCAAAGUGCUGGGAUUACAAGUGUGAGCCACCAUGCCCAGUCACAGAUAUCCAAAAAUGUUAACAAAUGAAUGAAUGUAUAGCUGCAUCCACUGACUUGACUUCCUAUUCAUUCCCAUCUUCAAAUCCUUCACAAACCUACCUUGAUUGAAGCAUAGCAUUUCCAGGCCUAUCUCAACCUGCAAUAUCUUUUUUUUUUUUUUUUUUUUUUUGAUGUUGUCUCGCUCUGUCCCCCAGGCUGGAGUGCAGUGGCGUGAUCUCGGCUCACUGCAAGCUCCGCCUCCCGGGUUCACGCCAUUCUCCUGCCUCAGCCUCCCGAGUAGCUGGGACUACAGGCGCCCGCCACCAUGCCUGGCUAAUUUUUUUUGUAUUUUUAGUAGAGACGAGGUUUCACCAUGUUAGCCAGGAUGGUCUCGAUUUCCUGACCUCGUGAUCUGCCCGCCUCGGCCUCCCAAAGUGCUGGGAUUACAGGCAUGAGCCACCGCGCCCGGCCUCGACCUGGAAUAUCUUAAUCCAUUUUUUUUUUUUUAAAUGUGUACACUAUGCUUUGUUAAUUUUCAUUGUUCUCUGCAUGUCUUCUUAUGGUGGUUCAUUUUAUGUGCCAACUUGACUCUCCAUGGAGUAUACAGAUUAAACAUUAUUUCUGGGUGUGUCUGUGAGGAGGUUGCCAAAUGAGAUAAGCAUUUGAAUCAGUGGACUCAGUAAAGCAGAUGGUCCUCCCCAAUGUGGGCAGGCAUCAUCCAAUCUGUUGAGGGCCUGAAAAGAACAAAAGGGUGGAGGAAGGGGGAAUUUGCUCUCAUUUCUUCCUUGUUGCCUUCUUGACUGGGACAUUAGUCUGUUCCAGCCUUUGAACUGGGAUUUACACCACCACCUCCCCUGGUUCUCAGGCCUUCAGAGUCAGACUGGAAUUAUACCACUGGUUUUCCUGGGUCCCCAGUUGUACUCUGCAAAUCAUGUGACCCUGACUAAUGUAUUUUAUAAACUACUUUUUGUGCAUAUAAUAUUCAUGUCCCCAAGGUCAAUAUUAGCUCUGUGGGGCAGACAGUAUAUUUCAGAUACAUAGGCUGGGCACGGUGGCUCAUGCCUGUAAUCCCAGCACUUUGUGGGGCUGAGACAGGUGGAUCACCUGAGGUCAGGAGUUCAAGACCAGCCUGGCCAACAUGGUGAAACCCCGUCUCUACUAAAAAUACAAAAAUUAGCCGGGCAUGGUGCCAGGCGCCUGUAGUCCCAGCUACUCGGGAGGAUGAGGCAGGAGAAUCGCUUGAACCCGGGAGGUGGAGGUGGCAGUGAGCCGAGAUUGAGCCACUGCACUCCAGCCUGGGCCACAGAGUGAGACUCUGUCUCAAAAC